rnacentral:lncRNA from 1 species
CUGACACCUGCGUCACUCACUGCCACACUUCAGCGGUGUGCCUUGGGGUUCACAAGGGGGAGGCCUGGGAGGGGAGAGGAAGCGGAUGAUCCCUUUUGACUAGAGGUGUGUGGCUUGUGGGAUUCUGCCACCCUGUGUGCAGCCCUUGAGACGUGGCUCGUGCAGCAAGGCCAAGUCCCUGAUUGUUCUCUCGUUUUAGGCUUUGCCAUUGGGGUGCAGCAGCUGCACCCCACCUUGAUCCAGCGGACUUACGGGUGAGUGGACAUGGCUGGCUUGGGGUGGGUAGUCCGUGGAGAUGAAGUGGAGAGGGCCUUGGGCUUCCUGGGUCUGGAAGGCUGGGGAAAUGACAGUUUUCAGACAUUUGAUUGCGUUUAAGCCAAGGGAGUGAAGAGAAGGCAGAUUGCACUUCUCCAUCCCUGGCAGAGGCCAUACCACCUAGGGGAUGGUGAGCCUUGGAGCCUGCCUGCCUUGGUACACACCCCAGCUCCCUUCGCUAGGUGUGUGGCCUCAGUUUCCUCACCCGUAAAAUGGGAGUGGUCACAGCACAUCUGAGUUCUCUGAAUGGAGGGCCUAGGGUGGGCCUGGUGCAGGUAACGCCCUCUUGAAGUGUUUGCUGAUGACUCUUAGGGACUGGCAGGCUGAGUUCUUCCCCAGGCACUCCUCUCACCUGUUCUAGUGCUGGGGCAGGUGGUGGCAGUAGGUCAUUGCUACCAAGGUCUGAUGUUUGUGAACGUUGCUGUAGAUACGAUGUGUUUGGGGUGGAGGCCACCUGCCUGAGUGGCCUGGCCUAUGGGCUUCUAGUCUGACUCAUUUACAAGCAGCGCAGCCCACUCUUCUCCAUCCUAAAACGCCUCCCACCUCCCUGCCCUUUUUUAAAACAUCUAGUAAGUCCUGGCAGCUGCUUGGGGAGGGACACACACACUUAAGGGAUACAAAGAGUCCUGCCUUGCGGCCUGCCUCCCCACCCCCAUGAUGGAUGGAAGCUGUCUGCCCUAGCGCCGUGGCAUAUUGAUGGGGUUGGAGUUGGAGGGGAAGGCAGCUCAGAGACCACCACCCCUUUCAGGGCAUUGGCACUUCAUGAACUUUCUGAAUCCAAAUCCCUAAUGCCAGUUGAUCACGUGUGUGUGCUCACGCAUGUGCGCACCACGUAGAUUCCAUUGAGAGAGACACAGCUUGAGGAGUAACCUGCCUGACUGGGGCAGUGUGGACAAGGAUCCUGUGGAACCCGGCUGAGCCUGGCUCCCAGGUGAAUGGGUCAGAGGCCCCAGCAGAAGUUGCUGUGCCCACUUUUUGGGAACGCUUGGGGUGACUCGGGGGCUCCCUGCCGGCUUCCGUGUGUAUUGGUGGAUGUGUGCAAGUGUAGCAGUGGGAGGAGCCGCUGGCUGAGGGGUGCUGGAGGGUGGCCGGGGCCCUUCUAGCCUGUGCGAGUGGCCGGGCAGCUCAGGUUCCUGCCGGGGUGCCUCUGUCCUCCUGGGAAGGGAGCGUGUAGGGUGGUGGGAGCAGGCGGCCCUGUCCGUCUCGUCCUGGAAUCUGUUUUGUAGAUGUCUAGAGUCGUCUUAGAGGGUGUUUGGGGACACUGUAGCCUUCAUGCCUUCACCGAGAUUCUUCCUAUGGGGUUCAGGCCACAUGAAGAGGGUGUUCCUUGUUUUCCAGAACCUUGGCUCCAUUCCCCAGGCCCACAGCAGGCGCCUGGGGGCAUGGACUGGGCGGGAGCAGCUGCCCAGAGGUGAGGGUGUGUGCCUCCAGUGCCUGCAGCUCUUUUCUGCUUACAGUGGGAUAAGGCCUUCCCACGUGCGUCUGGGCUCGCUCUGAUCCACACAGCUACCUCUGGGACUCCAUACCCAUCAGUGCUUGGCCUCUGGGGCCUGCAGAGGUGGGUUCGAAUCCUGACUUUGCCCCUUACCAGCUGGGUCUGUCUUGGCAGUGGCAUCCUCAUCCGGAAAACAGGAACAUUAACUGCUUAAAACAGUGCACAGGCAUGUGGGCUGGGUGCUCUGGCCUCCUCAGAAGUCCUCUCCUGUCCUCAUAGCAGGCCUCUGAGGAUGGGACUGAAACCAUUCUUACUUUAUAGAUGGGGAAACUGAGGCAGAGAAAGGCUAACCACCUGUCUGGGCCUGGGGGCGGGUGGCAGGGCCAGGGUGGGGAGGCGUGAGGUAAUAGACGUCCGGGAGGAGAUUGGAACACAGGUGGUGGGUGCCUGAACGCAUGCUUUCUUGGUGGGGGACGGUGGGAAGGGCCCUGGCCCGACCUUUCCCUUGCUGUCCUGGAGUCCUGUGAACACCACCCAUCCAGAAGCAGUUGGGAUCGGUCACAGAGUUUGCCACUGUGUGCCCCCGACUUCAGGCGACGGUGUUUUGUAACUAAAUCUGCUGGCUGGCCAUUUAAUACUUGUGACGAUGAAGAGGCCGCAGACUCUAUUUGUUGGUUGCCAAAGGGUGGAGACCCAAACAGGGACGGUGUCAGAGGGGCCAUCCGCUCUUGGCUUCCUGGGAGAUCUGAACUCAAGCCUCUGAGAAUCGCGCCGCCUCCUGCCCCUGCCUGGGCCUUACUGAGGUGGGUAGGGGGAGGCUCCCGGGUGCAGCUCCAGGGAGGCAGCGGGGCAGGCUGCCUGGGUCAGCUGUCUGCCCCCAGCCCCCGCCCGCUGACGGAGCUGGAGAGCUGGGCCGGAGCUGGAGAGCUGGGCCGUCAGCGUCCCUUUUGUCUUUGUGAACAAUCAGGCCCCGGGAGCACAGCCGGGCCUGACUCAGCGGCCAGUUUUGUCGGCCUUGGGCUGGCAGCGACUUGCUGUUGGCUGAGGGCAUGGAGGGAGGUGGGAGCCAGGAGCCCAGGCAGCUGAGGGUUGUCCACCAGUUAACCCCUUCCGUGCCUGGCUGAACUCUUCCUUGACUUUCUGACCCCGACCUUUUAUACCUUGCCCUGGACAACUCUGAAGAUCCCACAGCUCUGCUUUUAGGCAAGACCCUGUGGAAUCUUCUUCGCCUGGCUGGGUCUUAAAUGUUAGUUUAGAAUGAUUUACCAAAGAACUUUACACUUUAUGCUAUUUGCCGGAGUUUCCUUGCCUCUUUUCCUUUUUUUAAGUUGAACAAGCUCUGUGAGACCUAACUCACCUGUGCAUUUCUGACCUAACUGUAUGUGGCCACUGUCCGCGGUUUGGAGGAGCCUUCCUCGGCAGUGGCAAGCACGUGGUAGUCACAGCAGGAGCCGGUGGCCGUGGCCCACCAAGGGUGUCUGCCAGCUGAGUGUGUCUGUCACCUGCCGGUGGGAGGGGAGGUGCAGCAGUCUGGAGAGGGUCUGUGUCCAGGCAGAGCUUAGUCUGGCCUGGAACGGUGCCCUGUGUCAAGGGGUGUCUGUCCAUUCUUGGGCUGAGGGCACCGGGAGCAGAGGUUUGUCCUGGGACUAGCUGCACCCAGAGCCUCUCCUUGGGUUAUUUUUGAAGGGCCAGCUGCUUCCCUGGGUGCGGGUCUCCCUGCCUGUUAAGGGGGCCUGGCUGUGGCCUUGACUCCCGUUCACAGAGUGCCUCAUAUGUACAUUAUAGAACGUUUGAAGGGGGUGGAAUAUCCCUGGCCUCCACCCCUAGAAGCCAGUAGCAUUGCCUCGCCCAAGUCAUGACUACCAAAAAUGUCUCCAGACAUUGCCAAAUGUCCCCUGGAUUUAGUGGCAUGAGGACCAGUAUCUGUGAGUCUCUUGGACCUUGCCUCAUGGUCACAAGAUGACUGCCACGGCUCCAGACAUCCCACCCACGUUCAGGGCAGAAAGGACAAUAAGGGCCAGUACGAACUGCCUCUGUCUUUUUUAGCAGAAAAAUGGAAGUUUUCACAGAGGCCACAACAGGCUUCCACUUAAGUCUCACUGGCCACAACUGGGUGACAGGACACGGCCACCACAGGGGCUCUGAGAUGAGAAGACAGGCUCCUCGGACUCCGGAGUGUCAGGUACAGGCUGUAUCCAGGAGCAAGAGCCCUGGGGGUCUGCCUGGGCUUAAGGCCAGGCCCAGCCUGUCUCUGCAGGCUCCUCCCCAUCUGUGAGUGAGAACGGUCACACUGCCUUCCCUACAGGGCCAACUUGACUGUGUGUGGAGGGCCUGGCCCUGGGAAGUCACGGUUUGUCAGUGACGCAUCUCUUGCCGGCCCUGCUUCAGGGUCUGUUGAUUGAUUACCUGUGCAAAACCGAGGCUUAGAGCAACUGAGAGACUUGCUGAGUUCACACAUCCCAGGAUGGUGGGGCCUGAGCUGUGGGCUGCGAGACUCUUGUCCCUCCCACAAGGACUCAACGCCUCCCUCUGGCUAGAUGGCAGCUCUUGGAUGAUUCAGAGCACAAGGCCUCGAGACUGAUGAUGACCGUGAGACCCUCUCCCAGGCAUGUGCCUGCCCCACUGCAUGUAUAGUUUCAGGGACCCCUACGUCCUUUGUGUGAAGGUCUCUGGUGCCCACUGGGUAGUAGAUGGCUGCCCUUACCAUCACGGGGCCUUGGUGUGUGCACACCACGGGGCCUGGACAGAGCACCUGGGUCCCCAGAGCAAGAGGACGUACUGGGGAGGCAGUGAUGGGAAGAUGUCUGUCUCCUUGAGAGCAUGGGAUGCACAAGCUGGGGAGAAUGUCGACAGCUACUCCCAGCAUCAUUCAUUCAUCAGGUGUUUAUUGAGUGCUUGCUGUAUGCCAGACCUGGUGCCAGGGAUCCUUUGAAUAAGAAAGACACGGUCCCCGAUCUCGUGCUCACAUUCUGUUUGUGCACUCGUGGGCCCACAUGGUGAUGCGUGCAGUUAAACAGGAAGCUGGCGGAAUGAGUGCCUGCGUGGGGACGGAACAGUUCCGCGUCUCGAGUACAGUGGUGGGGAGAUGUGUCUGUGUGUGUGAUAAAGCUUCACAGUUUGUGUGUAACUACACAUGACAUGUAAGAAUGUUGGUGUGUGUAGAAGAUGAUGCAGCGUGCUGAAGGCCUGCAGUCCAGGUCAUAGCAGUGUGCCUGGGUUAGUGUCCUGGUUUUGCUCAUGUCCUUAGUUACUCUGAUGUGCCCUUGGGGGAUGGAGGAGGUAGGGUACACAGGAUCUCUCUGUACUGUUUUUGCAACUUCUUGGGAGUCUUUUAUUAUUUUAUAAUACAAAGUGAAACAAAGCCAGAGGAGCUGUUUGCAGGUGAUGGCGUGUGUGUGUGUGUGUGUGUGUGUGUACGCACGCACACGUGUGCGGGCGUGCUGGGGAAGGCUCCACUGAGGAUGGCGGAAAUGGGCCCUGUUGGCUUCUGGGGAAGAGCGAGCAGCCCAGGCCCAGGGUGACAGGCCAGCUGCAGGUCGCCGUGGCGGGCACA